rnacentral:rRNA from 1 species
UACGUAGGGUGCGAGCGUUGUCCGGAAUUAUUGGGCGUAAAGAGCUCGUAGGCGGUGUGUCACGUCGGCCGUGAAAACCUGCAGCUUAACUGUGGGCGUGCGGUCGAUACGGGCAUCACUUGAGUUCGGUAGGGGAGACUGGAAUUCCUGGUGUAGCGGUGAAAUGCGCAGAUAUCAGGAGGAACACCGGUGGCGAAGGCGGGUCUCUGGGCCGAUACUGACGCUGGAGGCACGAAAGCGUGGGGAGCAAACAGG